AUGGGCUUUGGGUUAUGUAGAUCAAAAAUGAUGAAUGGGAUUGUGGCACUCCACUCGCCGCCAAUGCGGAAGGAUGUCGCCGAAAAGAAUGGAACGCUGCUUCGCUCUGCUGGAUGUGUUGGAUCCCAUAUAAGAAGCUCUCUCUUUACCCGAUCAUUCAAACAUUUUGUGGGUGGGGCGCCUACUCUAUUGUUGCGUAGCAAUAGAAGCCUGCUCAUGCAGCUUCGAUGGUGCUUUUUCGCCUUCUCUUCGCUCUGGACAGGAGUGCUAAUGGACACGGGGAGGGAGCAGGCGAAGUGUGUCGUUCAUAAUGGAAACAAAGACACCACUACUUCGCCUCUUUGUUGGACCGCCGGCGCAAACAUGAUGGUCUCUGACCAGGACCAGGAACCAAUUCGAAUUUGGAUCUUGACAUGUCGGUUGUUUUUCACCAUAGGCAUCUUGCCAGGAAGUUGGUGGGAUCAUCAUGAAUUAGGUCAGGGUGGCUGGUGGUUUCGGGAUCCCAUAGAAAAUGCGUCUUUUAUGCCUCAGGUAUUAGCCACAGCUCGUAUUCAUUCAGUAAUUCUACCCCUUCUUCAUUCUUGGACUUCGCUUCUGAAUAUUUUGACUCUUCCAUGA
rnacentral:rRNA from 1 species